rnacentral:lncRNA from 1 species
ACGACCACCAUUGCUCAAAAGCUUAGACCAUCCAGUGUUGUCCUUCUUGCUCUGCGUCUUCACCCUCUCCUGGAUUCUCAGAGUGCUUAGAUCUCUGAUGGGAACUGAUGGGGACUGCAAGCUGAUCGAUCUCCUCUUCUCAAAGGUGUCUUUACGGGAGAACUUGGGCUUCAUUGCCUUCUCCGAGUCCACUCUUCUUGGAUGCGGAGUAGAGAAUCUCUUACGCUCAGACUUAGCUUCCUUGAAGACUUCAGGAAGAGGCGUCUGAGGAGAGGGAGAAACAGACCUCUGCUUGUUGGUAACAGGGUUUAUCUGCACUUCAGAAUCAACUGUGGAAGGUGUUGUAUUGAGUCCGGGGAGCUUCUCUUGGCUAGACUUAAAAGAGAGAGAGGACAACUUGGAGGAAUCAAGACGAUGAGAAACCGUUUGAGAAAACUUAGUCCUCCUAAUCCAAGAAGAAGCCUCUUCAUCCAUCUCCAACAAACUCCAAUUACAAAACCAACUAAAAGAGACCUAAGAUAAAACCUUUCUCAGACUACAAAAAGUCGUAUGAAUGAUUGAAGCAAACCUCAAAAUGAGAUGACUUGCAAUCUCCAACAAUCUCAAAACUCAAUCUUUCCUCUUCAAUCUGAGAUAAGCUUCCUAUAAAUUAAUACUAUUCUUCACAAAUCGCCGGAAAUCCAGAAUAGCUACCGAUCAUACGCCUCUUCCUACAUCAAUACUCGGAAAAAUCAAAUCAGCAGGCGAGAAGAUGGAUCUAUUAACGAAUUAGGAAGCUAAAAUGUUACCUUGGAAUCACGAAGCGGAGAUCAAGUACAAUCGGAAUCACCGGCGACUUGAAGCCGGUGGAGGAGGAAGAAGAGAUCGAUGGGAGAAGUCGAGAGAAGCUUAAACCAUACGACGCUCCUUGGAUUCUGAGAAGACGUUGUUCGUUUGACGAAUCAACAACUCUUUUUUUAGAAUGAUUUUGAUUAUUUUUUUAUUUUAUUUUUAGUUUUCACAGAUUCAAGGUGGAGAAAAGAAAAUUCUUUGGAAUUUUGAGGAAAUUACGUUUAAACGACUGCGUAUUUGUCUGCCUGUCACCAUCUCUGAAAUGCUUUUAUUAAUAUUCUACUAGUGGUAGCGCCGGGUUUGUAUAUUUUAUUCUCUAAUGAAUUCAAAAUUAUUUUUUCUGAUCCAUUUGAUAGUGGUUAGUAACAAUAGUGUAUCACCUUGUUUUGUAGUUGCUUAGGUCAAAGAAGAAUAGCAUAAAUUAUUUUCAUAGAUUAAUACAAUAAAAAUAGAAUAAAUAAUUGAUAGUUGCACCAAAGUAAAUAUAGUUGAACUUAAAACAUAAAGUAGAGUUGAUGUUCGAAAAAAAAAAUGUAAAUGUAUGUGUUUUUUUUGUUUUAUAUUUAUGCAACGAAUAUUUUUAUUUUGAUUUGCAGAUUAUAGGAUUUCAAAAUGUAAACUAUUUGAUAUAUUUGAUAUUGGUGGUAGGUGCCAUUAGUGUUAAACUGUGUUUCCUUUAUUAGUGUUAAUAGUUGAAAUUAGGGAUGGACAUUCGGCUACCCAUUCGGGUUUGUUACAGGUCUAUUCGGAUUUCGGGUCUUCGGAGUUAAAGAUUUCAGAACCAUUUGGUAUAAAUUUUGGUUCGGAUACUGUUUGAGUUCCGAUAACCCGUUUAAAUUAUUUUUAAAAAUUUUAAAUUCAUAUAUAUUUUAAUUUUUUCAAAAUCUAAAAACAAAAAUAAUAUCUAUAACAAUGUUCUGAAAUAUUGCAAUCAUAUAUAUAUUGUUUUGCAUAAUGUUGGGUUUUUUUUUGUAACUUAUCAUAUUUGAUUUUAGUUUGUUUACCUUGCUGUGUAAAUUGUAAGUUUAGAUUUUGACUUCUGAUUUCUAAUUGUAUUUUCACUUUUGAAAAUAUAUCCUUUGAUAAUAUUUAUAAUUUUAAAUGGUUUGUUUUUAUUUGGUCAAAUUUAUCCUCAAAUUUUCUUUUUAUACUUUGAAUUUAUUAGAUCAAUAAAUACACAAUUGUCCAUUUUCUACAUUUAUGUUCUGACACAAUUGUCCAUUUUCUACAUUUAUGUGCAUAUUCCAUUUUUUUAUCUUCUAUUUUUAUUAUUUCUGAAUUGCUACAUCUAAAGAACACUGGUGAAAAAGAAAAAAAAAAACACUUGGUGUUAUAUUGUCUAAAACUUGGUUUUUGAUGUGUUUGAUAUAUACAUAUUUUCUAUCGUGCCAUUAUAUUAUUUUGAUUUUUACUAUCUAUUUUUUUAUUAAAUUAAAAAUAACGUAAAUUGCAAUAUUGUUUCUAUGUCAGAGUAGAAAUAUUCUUCAUUGUUGUUUUAGAUACUUAAAUCAAUUAUUAAACCGUUUAAAAUGGAGUUGGAAAAAUGAGAAGUAAAUUGGAAUUUUUUAAAAAUUUGUAAGAGGUUCUAGCUAAAAUUGGUGAUACUUUUUUAGUGAUAAAACCCUAUUUACCGUCGUCUUUUAUAUUUCAUAAGCUCGAUUGAAAGCUUGAGAGUAAAGUACAUCACGUUAAAUCUCGGUUUAAAGUACAUAUUAAUGAGGGUGGAGGAGGUUACAGAGAGUUGAUCGGCGACGUCAUCUGAAUCAGUCGGCAGCUGAGCCGUAAAAAUCCAAGUUUAGAAAAUGACGUAAACCCUACACUUCAAUUGGCCUGAACAAAACAUAUUUUAAAAACCCAAAUGCCAUAACAAAACCAUUCGAAACUGAAAAUUCUUAGUCUGCCAUGUGUCCAGAAAUGCCCCAUAUAGAAAAAUGACGUGGAGGGGUAAGGGGGAGAGAAAACAUAGAUAGUUUUCCGCCAAUUAAUGUUGUUCUUCCAAUCACGUGGGUCUGAAUCGCACCGCCCAUCUUGCCUUCCCCAUCGGUCUGAUUACUUCACGAGAGAAACCCAAAAAAGAACAACGCAAAUAAUUGUAAACUGCAAAAGUCAUAAAAGAGUAAGAACUCAUGCAUAAACCACAUGAAUAAUAAUACCAAUGCCGAGCCACCAAUGCCGCUGCUGCCUCCGUGGACUGGUCCAAGCUUCUGAAUCCAAUGUUUCAGACCUUUCCUAGGGUCCUUGCAGAUCUUGUUUGAAGCCAGAUUCAAGUUCCCUUCACGUUCCAGUGAAGCCUCGAACUGUUCAAGCACUUUCACUAUCUGCCAGAAGUCGGGUCUCUUAUCCGGUGCAACCGACCAACAACGCUCUAUCAGAGCCUUCAUUGCUGCUGGACAAUCUCCCGGGAUAACUGGUCUUAGGUUCUGAACCAAAAGAUCAACAUUUUUCAGGUUAUAAAUGGUUGAAACAACUGAACAACAAAGGGCUUUAACAAGAUAAAACCAUUAGACAGAUAGUCAGGAGACACGCAGAAUGUUUUACCUUGUCAACUACUGCAAAAGCAGCUUGAAUAGGAUUCAUGUCCUCAUACGGGGUUGCUCCAGCUACCAAUUCCCAUAAAAGAAGUCCAAAGCUGUAGACAUCAGCCUUUCUCCCAUGAGGUUUCCGUUUUAUCAUUUCAGGUGCCAUCCACCUAUAAGUCCCUGGAUCAUCAGCCAACAUAUCACAGUACUCCUCCUCGCAUGCAAUCCCAAAGUCAGCAAUCUUCAGUUGAAAGUCUUCGUCGAUCAAUACGUUUUCUGGCUUUAAAUCCCGAUGAACUACAUGUCGUGAAUGAAUAUAUUCCAUUCCUCUUGCAAUAUCCAGACCAAACUCUAUCAGCUUUUUCAGAGGAAGAGACCUAUUCUCUGGCUUGUGCAGGUAAGACCUUAAGGAUCCUUCAGGUAAAUACUCAGUGAGGACACAAUAUACAGGAUGAUCUUUAUAAGCUCCCACAAACUGUUUAAAACAAGAAACUACAAUUAAGCACAAACCAUAUACUGGUAUAAAGAAGAUAGUGGAAUCACCUUAAUAACAUUAGGAUGGGACAACCGUGACAAAAGGGUGACUUCCUUGGUAAACUGUUUCUCUAAACGAGCACCCAAGCAUCCAUUCUCAUCAUCAUCAGGGACAGUGAUAAGCUUCACAGCAACAGCUCUAUCUUCAUACUUCCCAUGGUAAAGCCUGCUAUGUAACCCAUGAGCAAACUUAAGCCCAAGUAACAGCUUCGACAUAUCAACACGGUACUCUUCCGCAGCUUCCGAAGCGCUAACCUUACGACCACCAUUGCUCAAAAGCUUAGACCAUCCAGUGUUGUCCUUCUUGCUCUGCGUCUUCACCCUCUCCUGGAUUCUCAGAGUGCUUAGAUCUCUGAUGGGAACUGAUGGGGACUGCAAGCUGAUCGAUCUCCUCUUCUCAAAGGUGUCUUUACGGGAGAACUUGGGCUUCAUUGCCUUCUCCGAGUCCACUCUUCUUGGAUGCGGAGUAGAGAAUCUCUUACGCUCAGACUUAGCUUCCUUGAAGACUUCAGGAAGAGGCGUCUGAGGAGAGGGAGAAACAGACCUCUGCUUG